rnacentral:rRNA from 1 species
UACGGAGGGUGCGAGCGUUGUCCGGAAUCACUGGGCGUAAAGCGCGCGUAGGCGGCCCGGUAAGUCCGCUGUAAAAGUCAAAGGCUUAACCUUUGAAUGUCAGUGGAUACUGCCGGGCUAGAGUCCGGAAGAGGCGAGUGGAACUCCUGGUGUAGCGGUGGAAUGCGCAGAUAUCAGGAAGAACACCAACGGCGAAGGCAGCUCGCUAGGACGGUACUGACGCUGAGACGCGAAAGCGUGGGGAGCGAACAGG